CCUACGGGAGGCAGCAGUGAGGAAUAUUGGUCAAUGGACGAGAGUCUGAACCAGCCAAGUAGCGUGAAGGAUGAAUGCCCUAUGGGUUGUAAACUUCUUUUAUAAAGGAAUAAAACGAGGCAUGUGUGCCCUUUUGCAUGUACUUUAUGAAUAAGGAUCGGACAACCCCGUUCCAGCAGCCGCGGUAAUACGGAGGAUGCGAGCGUUAUCCGGAUUUAUUGGGUUUGAAGGGUGCGUAGGCGGAAUAUCAAGUCAGCGGUAAAAAUUCGGGGCUCAACCCCGUCGUGCCGUUGAAACUGAUGGUCUUGAGUGGGCGAGAGGUAUGCGGAAUGCGUGGUGUAGCGGUGAAAUGCAUAGAUAUCACGCAGAACUCCGAUUGCGAAGGCAGCAUACCGGAGCCCAACUGACGCUGAAGCACGAAAGCGUGGGUAUCGAACAGGAUUAGAUACCCGGGUAGUC
rnacentral:rRNA from 1 species